UCCUGCUUCCCGCAGUAGGCGGGCGGGCUGGAGGCCUCGACUAAGCCGCUUUCCACCACACAAACCAAAAGAUAAGACGCCACUUGCAUUAUUCCUCCCGCCAGUUGGGAUUAAAACGCGCGCACGCGCGCGCACGCGCACUGCUUGAGGAUGAGUGGUCGCCGGAUGGUUUGUGACAGCGAGUUGGAGCGAGCAUGUUUCAUGUAGGGUUGUCACAAGAACCGAUACUUCCGCUACCAAUUCGGUAACAACCCGCAAAAAAUACGUCGGUACCUGCUUUUUUUGUGGUACCGUUAGAACCGAAUAUUUUCUAAUUUUCUAAGCAGCAUUUAACUUUUCAUUCGGCGAGCGCGCUGUGUCGAUUGUUGCCAGAACUGAAGGGGGCAGUAUGGAGCAACAGUCAGCGGCGCUGAAGAAGAAGAAAAACUUUCGGUAAUUCAUAUCAAUGGCUUCAGCAAGUGGGAGUGGGAGUUCAACACGCCGGCCGGUGUUAUAGGUUAACUUGCUCCCAUGUUAUCUUGCUUUCCGUCUUCAGUUUUCAGAUUUGUCACAAGCGACAUGGAACUUGCCUGACUGCAAAAAAUAUUAAAAUAUUUUUUAAAAAUGGCGAUUCUCUCCCAAUUACAUCCGUCGGUUCUGGUCAAGACGCUUGUCUCGGUCACGUGACAUGGCACGUCAGUCGAGCCCGCGAAGCAAGCAAAAAUAAGCAAGAAACAUGUUUGGAAGGCUUCUUCGGAAAGGGAAAACCCCCCAAUGAGGAGACGGAAGAAGAGGCUACGACUUCUAAGAAAAGGAAAGCUGCAUUUAAAAGAACAUUUCUGGAGUCCUACUUAAAAUAUGGACUUAUCGCCAGCGGUGACUCUGAUGUAUGGCGACAGGCUAGCUAACGAGGCAAUGAAGCCUUCAAAACUGCUUCGACACAUGGAGACCAAGCAUCCUGCAUUAAAAGACAAACCUUAACCACUUCCGGUGUCUUUGUCUCCGAUUACGCCUAGAUGGCACCGGCGGCUCGUUUCUGAGAAACAAGCUCAGUGCUCCCACUAUUUCAACGUAAUGGACGCUGGCCAUAGGAUGGAUGGAUUGAAGAGCAAGCUAGAAUUACAACACGGUAGCUACGGGUUGAUUGCCAACCAUUGAUUCAUACGGCUUUGCUUUUCGGGCAGUUCUUUCCGGGACUGGGUAAGUAACUUCUGUGCUUAAAUAGUGUUGUUUUGUCAUGUUUCGUGUAUUUUGAGCUCAUAUUUUGUCUUUUAAAUGUGUCAUGCCCCGCAUACGGACCGCGUACGGACCGCGUACGGACCGCGUACGGACCGUGUAAGGACCGCGUACGGAUCAUGCAAGUUCAAGCUUUUGCUGCACUGUAUUUGCAUUGUUUUUGGUGCUUUUAUGUAUCCCUUUAGAGAAAAGGAGACAAAUUGCUUCAGAACGCGAUGCCUUCGCCGCUCAACGCUCCUUCUGGAACAAACGAGUGAUGAGAUCCGGGGUUCUGUUGUAUCCGUGUUGGUGUGUGUGUGAGUGUGUGUGUGAAGUUACCUUUGAGAUAGCAAUUUAACAGCUGAGUACACACACACACACAAUCAGGGCUUACUACACACUAGGGAGCUGAGAGAGCAUCACAGAAAAAAGCCUGAUCCAAAGAGACAAGUAAGGAUUGUUCACAACCAUGUGUGCAUCUGUGUGCGUGUGCAAGUGUAUGUAAAAGGCACACUUUGUCAAUUUAACAUUAUCAGACGACUGAUAGCUCUAAUUCUCUCGCCACGCACGCACGCACGCAUGCACGGACGCACCCACGCGCGCACCCACUGUGUCUGUGACAGCAGAGGUGACUUUUGAGGAAAUGCGGCGGAAGUAGAGAAACUAGGAAGAUGAAUAAAACACAGUUAAGGGGAUGAAGACUACUUAUCAUCAUGAUGGGUGACAGAUGAUUGAGAGCUGUCAGUCAUCAUGAUGAAAAAAGUUCAACAGAGCAGCUGACAUGUUCACGUCCAACGUCAACAGCUCGACUUUCAGUGAGUACGCUCCAAAUACUCGGCUUUGGGUUUGACGUGCUGGGGAUACAAAUGCUGCGCCGUGCACACACAUGGGCACCUGUGUGUGGAGCUCUAUCAAAAAACAAGGAAUUAAUGUUAUCUCCUAAACACACACACGCGUAUGAGGCGGCGGUGAUGAAACCAAGAUUGAGGACAGCCAUGUAGGUGAGGAGGAGGAAGGUGAAGAGAAGGAUGAAGGCUAGCAAAUGCAAAUGUGUUUGCACGGCACGGGGGUGUGCGACACGAGGAGACACGCCGUGAGUGAGUGCGUGCGUGCGUGCGUGCGCAUGUGUUUGCGUGUUCCCAUCUAGUGCGGUGCCCUUCUAUUGAGGAUUCCCACUAUCUGGGUCUCCCGCAGUGAAUGUUAAACAGCGAUGAAGAGGAACAGGAAGUGCUCUUCCCCUUACGUAAGAUCCCAGCGGACGUCCUCACAUUUCACAAGCAUUUGGUUCAUUCCGACAGGCGCCGGCCGACAUUGUGGCGGAAUCUGGGCGGCUGAGCUUCACUCUCCUGCAAAUUUCCCAAAUUGGAGCCUCCUGAUCUUCAUCACUACUUCAAGCACCUCCUAGCCUCCGAGCUGCGUUUUCGACAGCAAACUGCAAAUAAGGCUCUCUCUCGCACACAUGAUAAAAAGCACCAAAGUGAGUCAGUGUUGGAUGUGAUGAGGAUGAGGGGGCGGGCACUGCUGCUCAGAUGACUCACUAAGGGAGACCAUCAUGACGAGGAGGAGGGAGAUGAUGAGGACAAACAAGAUGAAGAUGAUGACCCCAACUGUCCGUGCGGCACUCGGUUGACCUCAGGUGACCUCUGGCGCUUCAAUGUCAUUGGCUGACGUGGACACUCCCUAUCAUUGGAACUCUGACCUUGCCUGCGGGUCAUCUGUGUUUGUUUGUUGUUUUCAUUUUGAAACGUGAUUGUUGAUGCAAAUGAGCUCGACAAAGAGACAUCAAAGGCAGUGGAAGAAGCCUGUUUGGAGAAGAUAAAAGCAGAAAACACCAGCCGUCGUCAUUGGAAGGAGCUGCUUGGAACACAGGACAAACCCCAGGUCUUGCGUCUGCACUCCGGUGGAUCCCCCCUUUCAGCACAGCUGCUCGCUUUUUUGAGAGUCUUUUGCGUGACAGAAGG